GAAGGAGAAACUACUCUCAACUAUAAGAAAACUCUACUCUGGUGCAAAGAUGCCAUCCAAGAUGAUCGCUAUUUUAUAUGCAGUCCUGAUCUUGGGGAAAGAGUUACACGCUGAGCGGAUUGUGAUGCCAGGUCCAUCAUCCGGGAUCAUGCUACAGGAUACGGCGGGAUUCAUCAUGACCAA